UGGUCCUGUGAACAGUGAGAACCAUGCUGGGCCCCCUCAGGUGUUCACAAGGGCCAAACAUGCCGUAUGGUCAACGCCCAGCCCCAAGCACCCUCCUCCAGAAAGCUCCCUUGAACAUGUAGCAGAAUAGAGUAAGCACUGGAUUCAGAGCCACAGGUCAUGAGUUCAAGUCCUGACUCUGCCAUUCAUUGACUGUGUGAUCCUGGGGAAUUGACUUACCUCUCUGGGCAUCUAUAAAUUUGGAUUGAGGUUGCCUCCACUGCAUCGACCUCAUUUGAGGGGUGAUGGGUGACGAGAAGACUGCACUGCCCUUUCCCGUCUCCCUGGAUUCCCUACAGACUAAUUACUUCACUGGCUGUUGGGAAUUGAUGGGAGAGAAGUACUACAUUUGAUCAGUUUUGAAAUGUACACUUUACCUCAAUAUUUCAGAAAUCAGGACUUAUCUCUCCACUGGCAGUCUUAACUUUCCGUUGGCUAGGUGGCAACCCUGAAUUUAAUAUCGCUUCCUACAUGUGUCACUCCUAACAGCUUGACUGGAUGGCCUCAGCCUCUCAAUGUUUCUGUCCACAAACCCUUAAGAACCUUUGGAGGAAGAAACCAGAGUCCUGAACGGUGUCUGAAACGUUCUGCUGACACCUUCUGGUGAGAUCUAGAAAGUGCCAGCGGCAAACUUGGCAGAAUGGGAAUCAGUGGCAUGGAAUACACUCCAGAAAAAGAUGGAUGUUGCUCUCAGAAAUGCCACAUCAUCCUUGCUCCUGCUGGCACAGAGGACAGCAUAGUGUGGAAAAAUCUGGAUACUGAUGUUUCAGGGUCAGAAAGCAAACAUCAACACCUCUCUUUCUGUCUCUCUCACACACACAUACGCUCAUCCUCUGCCCUGGGAACAAGGUACCUCUCAUGACUGGGCAGAGACUUGAGCUCUCUUCUUUCUGCCUCCGGGGGCCUUUGUGACCGGGGAAGCAGCCCAGGAAUUCAUGCUAGGCAUCUUGAAGACCCAGCAGGUGCUUUCACACAACAAUGAAACUUACAGCUGCAGCAGAAGUCCUCCCACAUGGCCACCUGCUCCCCGCCACCGGGCCCAGAGCCCGCCCCAAAGAUGACGUUGGAACUGUUUGCUGCGUGCAUCUCUCCCGACAGUUUUUUGCCUAAUUUGCUUUGUUGUAAUUUGAGUUUCAUCUGAGUUAACACAAUUGGUUAACAUAAACGGUAUCCUGUAUAUUCAUGCUUUUGCAAUUUGCUUUCUCCACGUAACAAUAUAAUCUUGGGAGAACUUUCCAUAUUAAUGUAUCUAGGACGACCUCAUUUCUAAACUGCUGAAUAGUGAUAGUUUACCCUUUUCCAUGUUGAUAGACAUUUGGGUUGUUUAUUUUAUUUUACAUAUUUGUGUUGCUAUUAUAAACAAUGCAAAAUAAACAUCCUUGAACAGCCUGUUUGUAGGAAGUAGAAUUUUUUGGUUUAAGGUAUUGCACAUUUUCAUUUGAGAAGAUGUGACCAAAUUGUCCUCCCAAAAUGCUGGCCUUUUACACUCCCA
rnacentral:lncRNA from 1 species